GCCGCGGUAGCUCAGUGGUAGAGCAGAGGAUUGAAAAUCCUUGUGUCGGUGGUUCAAUCCCGCCUCGCGGCA
rnacentral:tRNA from 1 species